CCAGCUUUUAAAAUCAGUCCCGUAACUAAUGCUGAGUGGAAAGAGAAGCUGAGCUCACAGGGCACAAAAGCUCUAGAAAUACAAAGCUGCAGAGGAUGGACGUGUUCUGCCUUUCAUUUCUCAAGACAGAUUUGCAAUGAUCAAGAGGCGUCCUGUGAAUGCAGUUUGCAAAGGACUUAGGCACACAGCAUCUCCUUUGUUCUCACCACAAGGCUGCCGGGUGUGCAGAUGUGAGGAUUAUUUCAAUGGUGAAGAAGCAUCCUGAGAGGUUACGUAGUUCAACUAAUGUCACACCAAGAGCAGGAGAGCAUCUGGGCAUUUGGACAUGGAAGGUGUGGGGCACAAGCAUCUCAUGGCCAGGGAACGGGGGAGGAGCAUCUCAGAGCUGCAUCAGAGUUCAUGCUGGUCCUAGGACAAGAGUCAAGCACACCCUGCUUUCACCAGCUGCUGGUAGCUUUCACUCAGGUUCCCACUUUGGCCACUUAAUUCUCUGAACCUCUACUACAUGAAGAGACUAGAACUUGAUUAGAAAAAAAUGGAAUGACUCUUAAUGAGCAAGUGGAUGAAUAAAUUGUGGUAAAUCCCUACAAGUGACUAUUAGAAAGCGAAUGAGUAGAGUUAAUUAAUUCCAUAUUGACAUUGUGCACUGUUUAUGAUACAUUAUGUAAGAAAAAAAAGCAAGAUUCAGUAUAAUGUUCAUUAUAAUAAUAUAUUUUGGCAAAAACAAACCACAAGGACAAAAAUUCCAAUACAGAUCUAAAAACAGUCCAACAAACAAAUGUCAUACUAGAAGAACAAAUAAUAUUGUUUGGAUUUAAGAGGAAAAAUUUGACAGAUCUGUUUAUAAUGCACACAGCAACUGCUAUAAGGAAACAGCUCAGGAAUGCAUAGACUAUGAAAGAAAAACCAGGAAAGAUGAGUUAGCAUGGAUAGAUGGAUGCAUGGAUGGAUGCAUGGAUGGAUGCAUGGAUGGAUGGAUGGAUGGAUGGAUGGAUACAUGGAUGGAUGCAUGGAUGGAUGGAUGGAAACAUGAAUGGAUGGAUGGAUGGACGGACGGAUACAUGAAUGAAUGGAUGGAUGAAUGGGUGGAUGGAUGGAUGGAUGGGUGGAUGGAUGGAUGGAUGGAUGGAUGGAUGGAUGGAUGGAUAGACGUAAAUGAGGAAAAAAUAAAGGGAAGAAGGAAAAUUAUUUUUCUUCAACAAUCCAAAGACACUGUUCCUUUAUUUUCACAGUAUCUUAUGCUUUUAAUAAUAAUUCUAUUGCUGAAAUAACUUUUUUUCCUCUUCAUCCUUAGUGUUCUCAUAUUUCAUAAUCAGGAUCUAGAUAUGAGUCUUUUCUAUUUAAAAAAACUUUUCUUUCAGCUCUGAAAAAUAUUUUUAUAUUGCUUCUUAGAUAAUUUAGAACCCUCAACUCCCCGUGUUCUUUCUUUCUGGCAUAACUACUUGCUCGCUGUUGUACCUUCUUGAUAUAUCCUUUAUGUCUCUUAUUAUUUCUUUACAACUUUCUGUCUUGUUUUCUUGUUGUUCUACAUUUUAAGAAUUUCUUCACUUUUUGUCUCUUUUACUUAAAAUGAUUCUUUCAUACACUUUAUUCCAUUUUAUAGCAUCCUGUUCUUGCCUUAUGGAUACAAUAGCUCUGUAAAUUGGUAUUUCCACGUUCUCUUCUGUGCCCUGAAUUCUCUCUCUCUCUCUCUCACACACACACACACACACACACACACACACACACAGAGAGAGAGAGAGAGAGAGAGAGAGAGAGAGAGAGAGAGAGAGAGAGAGGGAGAUUAUAUUAUCCUAAAACAGGAGACUAGGAGUUGGAACUGUAGUUAGAAAAUGAGAGAUGUCCACAGAUUUCUGGAAAAUAGGUAACAUUAUUAGGUUGGUGCAAAAGUAAUUGCAGUUUUUGCAUUACUUUAUUACAAAAAUCACAGUUACUUUUGCACCAACCUAAUAAAAAGUGGUGACGACCAAGGAAUAGGUGAGGAAAAAGGAAGAAAAGUUCCAUCUUAGAAUGGAUGCUGAGGAAUGUAUGUGGCAGAAGAAGCCUACUGACCUGGUGAAAAUGGGUUGCAGUUCCAAUACCGAGAUGACUCCAGGUAAUUCAGAACUUUCACUAUUGUUUAUGAGAUCAAAUAUACAAGGGUAUGUAAUACAUAUAGUUUAAAGAAUUGAGCGUGUUUCCAUCACUCAGUUUUAAAAUUACCCAUAUUUUAGAACCUUCCUUGUGUCUCUUUCAGAUUACAUCCCUCUCUCAUUCCUGAUGUUGAUUUGUGUGUGAAUCAUUUUUCUCUUUCAG
rnacentral:lncRNA from 10 species